GUCGGAGAGAGGGGGAGCGUGGCUGAGAAUAUACGGCCCUGAACUUGAUCUGGAUAAUACCAGCGAAAGGAUCAUGCUCUCCUCCCCU
rnacentral:ncRNA from 13 species